GCUCGAGCGGCGUUUCUUCGACCGACAACGUCGGUCGGAGCAACUUUCUAGUUUAGCUGACGUGCGUACGGCGAGAAGACGUAUAUAUGUGUGUGUGUGUGUGUGUGCGCGCGCGCACGCACGGUCGCGUGCAACUGUGUGCGUGCAUGCGGGCAUACGUAUAUUCUGCCCUUCUCCAUGACGGCCAUGUGGAGGAAAACUGGUUUCAAAAGAAUAGAGCAACUGCGUCUUACCAGCAACAGCCACGAGGAACGAAAGCUCCGACACCCUCGCGCAUGAGAGAGUUUAACAUCGUAUCUACAUAUAUAUGUUACAUAUAUAAUAUGAGCCGUUUGACAGGAUAGGAGUACAAAUCUUACUUUAGCGCAUUUUUGAAGAUAAUUAUGUUGAAAUGAUAUAUAAAAUUCUGAAAAAUAUGAUACCACUAAUGAAUAUUUUAGAAAUAUAAUAAUCAUAAUUUUUUCGUAUCUUUCUACGGAUUUCUCGAUUAUAUUAUAUUUAUCUAUGUGACGAAAUUUUCAUGCAACUAAUAUUGAUAUCAUAGAUCUCGUAGAAUUAACAAUAUUAUUAAAAUUAUAUUAAUACAUAGAAUAUUGAAAAUUGUAUUAUUGAAAUAAAAAUCUAUCAAACGUCACUUGACUCAAAA